rnacentral:rRNA from 1 species
CCCCUAGAUGUUCUGGGCCGCACGCGCGCUACACUGAACAGUUCAACAAGUCUUAACCUUGGCCGAUAGGUCUGGGUAAUCUUUGAACGCUGUUCGUGAUUGGGAUAGACCUUUGCAAUUAUGGGUCUUCAACGAGGAAUUCCUAGUAAACGCAAGUCAUCAACUUGCAUUGAUUACGUCCCUGCCCUUUGUACACACCGCCCGUCGCACCUACCGAUUGAAUGGUCCGGUGAAGCCUCCGGAUUGGCGUGCACCCUCGGGUGCUGCCGAGAAGUUGGCUAAACCUUACCAUUUAGAGGAAGGUGAAGUCGUAACA